rnacentral:guide_RNA from 1 species
AACAACGACAUGAUAGAGAAAUACACUCUGAGAGAUAUGAUAC